ACUUAAGCAUAUCAAUAAGCGGAGGAAAAGAAACCAACCGGGAUUGCCUUAGUAACGGCGAGUGAAGCGGCAAAAGCUCAAAUUUGAAAUCUGGUACCUUUGGUGCCCGAGUUGUAAUUUGGAGAGGGCAACUUUGGGACCGUUCCUUGUCUAUGUUCCUUGGAACAGGACGUCAUAGAGGGUGAGAAUCCCGUGUGGCGAGGAGUGCGGUUCUAUGUAAAGUGCCUUCGAAGAGUCGAGUUGUUUGGGAAUGCAGCUCUAAGUGGGUGGUAAAUUCCAUCUAAAGCUAAAUAUUGGCGAGAGACCGAUAGCGAACAAGUACAGUGAUGGAAAGAUGAAAAGAACUUUGAAAAGAGAGUGAAAAAGUACGUGAAAUUGUUGAAAGGGAAGGGCAUUUGAUCAGACAUGGUGUUUUGCGCCCUCUGCUCCUUGUGGGUGGGGGAAUCUCGCAGUUCACUGGGCCAGCAUCAGUUUUGGUGGCAGGAUAAAUCCGUAGGAAUGUAACUUGCUUCGGGAAGUAUUAUAGCCUAUGGGAAUACUGCCAGCUGGGACUGAGGACUGCGACGUAAGUCAAGGAUGCUGGCAUAAUGGUUAUAUGCCGCCCGUCUUGAAACACGGACCAAGGAGUCUAACGUCUAUGC
rnacentral:rRNA from 1 species